rnacentral:sRNA from 1 species
ACAAGAACAAUAACAAGCAAUGCAGCAGACAAUAAAAACAAGACGUAUCGACUCACGCACAAUAAAAACAACACGGCGAGAGGCGUAGCUAACUGAUUCUUUUGGAGAAGUACUGUAAUUGGGGCUUGCCCCACGACCAGGCCGAGAACAACAAAAACUGCCCUCAAGGCAGCGCCUGAACUGGUUGGAUCCCUCGGAUCAUCACACUACAGCGAUCAAAGCAAUCCGUUUGCUCUUGGCUCCCGGUUGGGAGCGCCCACAGGCUUGAAGCCUAGUGGCACAGGGCGAUCAACAAAAACAAGAAGCCCGCAACCAUAAUAAAAAUAGAGCACGCAACUACUUCUGGGGGAGCUUCGGCUCCCCUUGUAGUUUCCGCGAUAUAGUUUCCGCGAUACA